GUCUCAAUUAAGCAUUCUUUUUCCUUCAUCUUCCUUUCAAUCAAUGUUCAAGUUCCAAAUUUGAUCUGGGUGUGUAAAAUUUUCACUUAUUUUUUCGUUUGGAAUUGUUAUUGAUGUUGGAUUAUCCUUUUGGUUGGCUCAUUGAGAUUGAUUUAGGUGGGUGAAUAUACCCAAAUUUGAUUUGGGUAUGUGAUUCUUGUUCCAUGUUACAAAAAUCCCAAUAAUGUAAUCCAUUUGGGCGUAUUUUGAUUUCCUCAUUCAAAUUUCUGGUUGUCUUCUUUUCUUUGUGUAUGAAAAACCUAUGUAUUUUCACAUGCAGUAACUUUUGGUUCUCUUUUAUCAGAUGUAGUGUUAGUUUGGUCUUCCAAUUCAAAUUUUUGGUUGUCUUCCUCUGUUCAUGUAUGAAAAACCCAUAUAUUUUCACAUGCAGUAAAUUUUGGUUGUCUUUUAAUCAGGAUGUGUUUGGGCUACAAAACUCUUCCUGAUUAUCUCCAGUUUGGGUAUAGAAUUGGUAAAUUUUACCAACCAAGGUGUACUUGCAUCUGCUGGCCAUUUUGACUUUGAAAUCUUCUUCCCGAAAGGUUAUGGAAGGGUAUUCUUGCCGAGUGCUAAUAAUAGGAGGCGUUAUGUCUAUGGGUGGGACAUAUCGAUUUUGAUUAACUCUGAUUUCAAUUUUUAUUAAAUCUGAUUCGAGAGGCUAAGUAUUUGGUCACAAUGGGGGGUGAAUGGUCUGGAAUUCGAAUGGAAUUAUUUUUGCUGAAGGAACUAUUGAUAGGAGGUCUGUUUUGAAAUUGUUGGGAGUUAUGUUGGUUGGUUUUUUGCAGGUUUGAUCUCUGAAUAUUUCCACAGAAUCAUUCCCUUUGUGAUUAUUCUUCUCGUUUAGUCCAUUUCCUGUAGCCUGCAUAAACUGCGUACCCUUCUCAUGCUCAUUUUGAUUAACUAGAACAUUACAGGGAACAUUACUAUGAUCAUUAGGAGUUAUCGUGCUAGGGACUAACUUACUUGUGGUGCUAUUGUUGGCCUUUGGUGUAUAAUCCUUAUAAUUUAUUUUGUGGUUUAUGAUAGUUUGAUUUUCUUCUCCUCGACUAUUGUAAGUGUAGCUCUUGAAGAUCCUCCGAAAAUAAACGGCUUAGAUUAAGAUUAUGUGGUGUGGAAAUUUUCAUUUUAUAGUUGAUUCAUCCUGAUUUUUAGGACCCUUUUUUUCUUCUUUUUCCUAAAUCUUUGUGCUGCAAUUAAUUUUGUACUUUUAAUUUACCACAAAUCUGCACUGUGUAAAACGUGUUCUUGUUCUUGAAUUCAUUGUUGCAGAGACCCUUUUAAGCCCAAAGGCCUUUCAUGAUUUUUCGAUAACGUUUUUGUGUGCAGUGUGAAGAUAGGAAUUCGCAAUUAUUACUACUGAAGUCUCAGCGCUACAGUUACCAGCCAUGACAGAAAGAUUGAAUACCAACGAAAUCGACGAGAACACAGAAGAAUGGAUUUGUAAAGUUCAAGUAGUAGAUUAAGGUCAUCCCCGAACGACCAGGGAGGGAAACAAGAAAUAUCAAUUGAUGAUAUUAGAGGAUGAAGAGGCAUUUGUCACUAAACUAAUAAAUACUCAUCUACUUUCACAAAUUACUUUGUAGCAAAAUACAUAUACUGCAUACCAUUUUUACUUUGCUUUUUAAUGGUUGUAAUCUAUCUUGACUCAGUAAUCUUCAGUUCAAUGCUCUUCUACUUAGUUGAAAUAUUGUUCCUUGUGAGUUUUGCUGUCAAGCACUUGUUGUCACUGUAAAUCUACGUUUUACGUUUCUUUUGUUGUAGAAAAGUUACAGAUUGGGUUAAAUGUAAUUGGUUUUGUUUGUAGAA